GAAAUAAUAGUAUAAAUUAGUACACCUCUUUUUCGAGGAGGGGGUAAAUUAUUUCU
rnacentral:tRNA from 1 species